rnacentral:rRNA from 1 species
AGAAUCAACGCUGGCGGCGUGCCUAACACAUGCAAGUCGAACGAGAAAGUGGAGCAAUCCAUGAGUAAAGUGGCGACCGGGUGAGUAACACGUGACUAACCUACCUUCAAGUGGGGGAUAACCUCGGGAAACCGAGGCUAAUACCGCAUAAUAUCGCAAGAUCAAAGCAGCAAUGCGCUGGAAGAGGGGGUCGCGGCUGAUUAGCUAGUUGGCGGGGUAACGCCCACCAAGGCGAAGAUCGGUA